GACAUAUUUUCUAAGAUCGUUUCUUCAUGACCUCAUGUAAACGAAGGUGAUGAAAUAUUCCUAAACACUAAUUUGGGUUCUUGAGAUGACAAGUGAGAAAAGGAUUAUAUGGUGUGCUAAAUAUUUAUCCACGGAUUGGGAAGUGAAUGGCAUAAGAGGUAGCCUGUGGAACUUACAUUUCAACGGUACGUGUUUUGAAAAAUGAUGAUGAUGAUGAAAGAAAGAAAAAUCAUACUAACUAUGAACAAAUGCAGGUAUGGUUGAGAAAGCAAGGUCUCAAGAGUUUAUGGUUUGUUUAAAGAUGUGGACUCCAUUGACAAGCCCAUUGGAGGUCACAAAGGGGAAAAGCUCUUGUUAAAUGAAACAUAUGGUGAAGGCUUACAGGAGGCUCGAGUUGUAGUUCAUGCCAGGACUGAUUGAGAGGCAAUCAAUAGAUGUAUACGGAUCGAGAGAAAGUUUGAGAGAAUUUCUGAAAGAAAGAAUCAAGCACUUAAAAGAGAAGGUUCUAAGAUAGCGGGCUGAUGGAAGGUAAAAAAGUUGACAAGCCAUAUACUAAAGCUGGUUGAUUUGGCUGGGUUGGGUAAUGGUCAAAGUGAACCAUUAUACAUUAAGAUCAAGAUGGGAAGUCACAUUUGACAACCUACAUUAUUUUGGAGAUUUUGAAGUAGUUAAGGUAUUAAUUAGGACUCUAAUCCAAAAUCAGCAAUCUGCCAUGAGAUGAAAACAUGUUCGUGAGAAUAUAUGGAGUUGAGCUCAAGCAUUUAGAUUGUACCUUUUUGAUUUUUGAAUUUUAAGGUCAUUUUAUAAGAUUUGUAAUAUGUCAUUUAUUUCUCAAACUAUUUUAUUUAUAAAUUUGUUUUACAUGA